rnacentral:rRNA from 1 species
AUUGAACGCUGGCGGCAGGCCUAACACAUGCAAGUCGAACGAGCGGCGGACGGGUGAGUAAUGUCUGGGAAACUGCCCGGUGGUGGGGGAUAACUACUGGAAACGGUCGCUAAUACCGCAUACCAUCGGAUGAGCCCAGGUCGGAUUAGCUAGUGGGUGGGGUAACGGCUCACCAAGGCGACGAUCCGUAGCUGGUCUGAGAGGAUGAUCAGCCACACUGGAACUGAGACACGGUCCAGACUCCUACGGGAGGCAGCAGUGGGGAAUAUUGGACAAUGGGCGCAAGCCUGAUGCAGCCAUGCCGCGUGUAUGAAGAAGGCCUUCGGGUUGUAAAGUACUUUCAGCGGGGAGGCGUUACUCGCAGAAUAAGCACCGGCUAACUCCGUGCCAGCAGCCGCGGUAAUAC